rnacentral:rRNA from 1 species
CUAAGGCGAGGCCGAGAGGCGUAGCCGAUGGACAACAGGUUGAGAUUCCUGUACUACAGUAUGACAGAACUGUGGGGACGCAGAAGGAGAGCACUACCUGGAAUGGAAUCCAGGGGCAAGCACAGGAGGGGUACGGCUGGAAAAACCGCCGUGCAACCCAAAGGUGUGACGCAUACCGAACUAAAGUAGGGAAAUGUGUGAGCCGGCUGCCGAGAAAAGCCGCUAUUGUUUGUACUGUACCCGUACCGUAAACCGACACAGGUGGAUGAGGAGAGAAUCCUAAGGCCGACGGAAGAAGCAUUGCUAAGGAACUCGGCAAAAUGACCCUGUAACUUCGGGAGAAAGGGUGCCUCGAAAGAGGCCGCAGAGAAUAGGCCCAAGCAACUGUUUAGCAAAAACACAGGUCUAUGCAAAACCGCAAGGUGAAGUAUAUGGGCUGACGCCUGCCCGGUGCUGGAAGGUUAAGGGGAGAUGUCAGGAGACGAAGCAUCGAACUUAAGCCCCAGUAAACGGCGGCCGUAACAAUAACGGUCCUAAGGUAGCGAAAUUCCUUGUCGGGUAAGUUCCGACCCGCACGAAAGGCGUAAUGAUUUGGGCGCUGUCUCGGCAAUGCAUCCGGUGAAAUUGAAGUGCCAGUGAAGAUGCUGGCUACCCGCGCCAGGACGGAAAGACCCCAUGGAGCUUUACUCCAGCUUGAUACUGGGAUUCGGUAUUGUAUGUACAGGAUAGGUGGGAGGCUGAGAAAUGGUGACGCCAGUCGCCAUGGAGCCGCUGUUGGGAUACCACCCUUGCAGUACUGGAUUUCUAACCAGCAGCCGUGAUCCGGCUGGGGGACAAUGUCAGGUGGGGAGUUUGACUGGGGCGGUCGCCUCCGAAAGGGUAUCGGAGGCGCUCAAAGGUUCCCUCAGAAUGGUCGGAAACCAUUCGAAGAGUGCAAAGGCAGAAGGGAGCUUGACUGCGACACCGACGGGUGGGGCAGGUACGAAAGUAGGACUUAGUGAUCCGGUGGUAUUAAGUGGGAAUGCCAUCGCUCAACGGAUAAAAGCUACCCUGGGGAUAACAGGCUUAUCACUCCCAAGAGUUCACAUCGACGGAGUGGUUUGGCACCUCGAUGUCGGCUCAUCGCAUCCUGGGGCUGUAGUAGGUCCCAAGGGUUGGGCUGUUCGCCCAUUAAAGCGGUACGCGAGCUGGGUUCAGAACGUCGUGAGACAGUUCGGUCCCUAUCCGGCGUGGGCGUAGGAUAUUUGAGAGGAGCUGACCUUAGUACGAGAGGACCGGGUUGGACUGACCUCUGGUGCACCGGUUGUCAUGCCAAUGGCACAGCCGGGUAGCCAAGUCGGGAAGGGAUAAACGCUGAAGGCAUCUAAGCGUGAAGCCCCCCUCAAGAUGAGAUAUCCCCCGCAUAAGCGGUAAGACCCCUUGAAGACGACGAGGUAGAUAGGGCAGAGGUGGAAGUGCAGUAAUGUAUGGAGCUGACUGCUACUAAUAGGUCGAAGGCUUAAU